UUGGACAAUGGGGGGAACCCUGAUCCAGUCAUGCCGCGUGUGUGAAGAAGGCCUUUUGGUUGUAAAGCACUUUAAGCGAGGAGGAGGCUACUGGUAUUAAUACUACCGGAUAGUGGACGUUACUCGCAGAAUAAGCACCGGCUAACUCUGUGCCAGCAGCCGCGGUAAUACAGAGGGUGCGAGCGUUAAUCGGAUUUACUGGGCGUAAAGCGUGCGUAGGCGGCUUUUUAAGUCGGAUGUGAAAUCCCUGAGCUUAACUUAGGAAUUGCAUUCGAUACUGGGAGGCUAGAGUAUGGGAGAGGAUGGUAGAAUUCCAGGUGUAGCGGUGAAAUGCGUAGAGAUCUGGAGGAAUACCGAUGGCGAAGGCAGCCAUCUGGCCUAAUACUGACGCUGAGGUACGAAAGCAUGGGGAGCAAACAGGAUUAGAUACCCUGGUAGUCCAUGCCGUAAACGAUGUCUACUAGCCGUUGGGGCCUUUGAGGCUUUAGUGGCGCAGCUAACGCGAUAAGUAGACCGCCUGGGGAG
rnacentral:rRNA from 1 species